GGCAGAACAGAGGUACAAGGCAGGGGCAACCGCAAAAACUCUCAUGACUUUGCAGUGGAGGGACCUUGAGAAGGAAACUCGCUUUGGGGACACAAAGAAUUAGGAUUAAUGCUUUGCACAAGGUCUUGUCUGAUUUCAGGCAAGCCAUGUAGGGGAACCUGCUGGUAGAUUCUCCAGACACACAGAGGUCCUAAUACAUCUUGGAGGGACAGGGGAAGGAGAUGGAACUUCAAGUCAGGACCCAGGCUGGCACUGGCAGUUAUAACCUGAAAUCUCUUCCCCCGGCCAACCUCCCCCACUCCUGCCAGGAGAUCCAGGAGAUGGUGCUCACAGAACAGUCACUGACUUCUUCCUAGAGAACCAGGUAGGUCAGAAGGGAGUCAACUUUUCUCUCCUACCAGCACUGUGAUUCGAGACGGUGGAAUUUCUCACUGUUGCUCCCUUCCUCUGUCCAAGGACUUUUGAGCCAGUGAGGGGCAAGAAGUCUGUCUCCAUCUUUAUGAACUGUUUAUGAUUCAGGACUUCAGAAAGAAUGGGACCAACCCAGACACUGAACAUAUUCCCAGUCUACAGAUACAAAAUUGUGGCAAUCCUCUUCUCCAGUGCCCAGAUCAAUGAAUAAGAUAUUCCACCCUGAACGCAAUGUCUCAGCCCCCAGGAUGAGGUUGGGAUCAUUUGCACAACAUGUGCACUGGUCUAUUGAUCCUGAGCUGCCUCCUUCCUUCACAAAAUGUCAACUUCUGCAUCAGGUCCAGAGUGUCCCAGGAGAGAGCCAGUGCCAUAAGGAACAGCAGAGUCUUGAUCUGAUUCAUUAUCUCCAUGAAUUUGACUUAAGUGACCUCUGUCCCUGGCUUCCUCAUGCCAAGUGUAGACAGGCUGGCUGCAAUAGGCUGCAGAACCUGUGAAUUGGGAGUGUUCCUCUUGGGAAGUAUAACAGAUUCGGUCCAUUGUGUGAGUGCCCAUUGGUGGCUGAAGGGGGUCUCCUAAUAUUUACUCACCUGUCUGAGGGCAAGUCAAUAUCCAGUCCAUGGCUAGGGUUCAGGCCUCCUCUUUUGCACCCUUCUCUGAGGUGUGGUUUGCAGGGGGUUGGGAGGGACCCAGGUCUGCCCACUCCUCUGGGACCCAGCCCAGGGACUCUAUACAUAGCAGUUACCUGCCAAAUUUCAAAGUCCGUAAUUGCGGUCACGUCCCUGGGCCACUUCCCCAGGAUGCCAUUUCAUCCAGCCCUUCUCUAGGGCCUUGUUGCUGAAUUCUCCUUGUCCAGGGUUGUCGUUGGCUAGCCACAGCAUCUAGC